rnacentral:rRNA from 1 species
GACGAACGCUGGCGGCGUGCUUAACACAUGCAAGUCGAGCGGAAAGGCUCCUUCGGGGGUACUCGAGCGGCGAACGGGUGAGUAACACGUGAGUAAUCUGCCCUUGGCUUCGGGAUAGCCACCGGAAACGGUGAUUAAUACCGGAUACGACCACUUCUCGCAUGGGAUGGUGGUGGAAAGUUUUUCGGCCAGGGAUGUGCUCGCGGCCUAUCAGCUUGAUGGUGAGGUAAUGGCUCACCAUGGCUUCGACGGGUAGCCGGCCUGAGAGGGUGACCGGUCACACUGGGACUGAGACACGGCCCAGACUCCUACGGGAGGCAGCAGUGGGGAAUAUUGGACAAUGGGCGGAAGCCUGAUCCAGCAACGCCGCGUGAGGGAUGACGGCCUUCGGGUUGUAAACCUCUUUCAGCAGGGACGAAGCGCAAGUGACGGUACCUGCAGAAGAAGCACCGGCCAACUACGUGCCAGCCGCCGCCGUAAAAC